rnacentral:piRNA from 1 species
UGUAUGCCGCCAUUUAGGACUCACGAAGU